GACGAACGCUGGCGGCGUGCUUAACACAUGCAAGUCGAACGGACCGGCCCUGCUUUUGUGGGGUGCUCGAGUGGCGACCGGGUGAGUAACACGUGAGUUACCUGUCCUUGACUUUGGGAUAACCUCAGGAAACUGGGGCUAAUACCGGAUAGGAGCUCCCGCUGCUUGGUGGGGGCUGGAAAGUUUCGGCGGUUGGGGAUGGACUUGCGGCUUAUCAGCUUGUUGGUGGGGUAGUGGCUGACCAAGGCUUUGCCGGGUAGCCGGCCUGAGAGGGAGACCGACCACAUAGAGAGGGAGAUACAGCCCAGACACCUUCGGGAGGGAGGAGGGAGGAAUGUAGCACGAGGAACGGAAGCCAGAUGCAGGAACGCCGCGUGCGUGAAGACGGCCUUCGUGUGGAAAACCGCAUUCGCCUGUGACGAAGCGUGAGGAACGUAAAUGGAGAAAAAGGCACCGCCAAACUACGG
rnacentral:rRNA from 1 species